CAUGAUUCCCGCCAUUAGAACAAAAAGCAUUGUACAUUUUUACAUAAAAUAAACAUUUGAUUGUUUUAUUCAGAGCCGCUUUUAUUUAAGCGUCCUAAAAUGGUGAUCCAGAUAUGAAAUAAAUUAUAUUAUUCAAUCAACGCAACGCGACGAACGAGUGAUCACGAUUCAUCAUCGUCAAAUAUUUUGUGCGUCAUACCACGGUUUGUCUAAGUUUUAAUAGUAUUAUUACAGAUGGGCUGCGUUAAACCAUCAUACCGAUUUCGGUGGUGAAGCAGUUAUGCGUUCGGGUUUUAAGGGUGGAGCAGCGUACUAUAAAAAUGAGACGUAGAAGUCAAGUCUCAAGUCGGGUUACGACAUUUAAGUUGUUGAUGCCCCGUUGCUGCUCCGGUAACCACUUAAAAGUCCAUCGGCGGAGAGAUCGUUCACCAAUAGCUCACACGAAGGCCCCUCGAGUGAUGAGACGGCGAACUUCAGAAGUUCAAGAUAAUCAAUUUUAUACACAAGCGCCAGUUGUUAAUAGAUUUUAUUUAAUCUAAAGUUCGAAUUCAACAUCUGCUAAAACAAAUGGGAGCGUUAGCGUUAAUGGCAAUUUUUUCUAAUCGUUCGGUAUGCAGUUAACGACAGUGAAACAAAAAGAUGGACAUAGUACAAGUUUCACGAGUAAGUCUUCGAGGCAUCGGCAUCGUCUCGUGCGAAUGAUUUGUAUUUCAACGUAUGUGUUUGUCAUUAAAUAAUCGAAGCUAUAACAAGAAACGAAAGAGAAGAAAUAUGUAAGUACCAUUUACUGUCAUUACUUCGAUGUUUGCGAGCGUGCGGCUGUGCCUCGGUCAUUUGUUGUCGACAAAUUAAUAAAUUUUGCUGCAUUAAGGCUACUACUUACUUAUGAUGCUGUCUGCAGUAUAUUAAGAACGCCCAAGACUGCUUUAAUAGGUUUAUGUACAAAUAUGUAUGUGUUAAUUUGAAAACGAAUACUCUUAACAAAAUGUUUCAUGAACAGAACUUGAUAAUUAAGUAAUUAUGGUAUUGAGGAAUUAAAAUUAAACAUAUUGUAUUCUACUA